UACAGAGGGUGCGAGCGUUAAUCGGAAUUAUUGGGCGUAAAGGGUGCGUAGGUGGUUAUAUAAGUUAGGUGUGAAAGUCCUGGGCUUAACCUGGGGAUUGCGCCUGAUACUGUGUAGCUAGAGUACUGUAGAGGGAAGUGGAAUUUCCGGUGUAGCGGUGAAAUGCGUAGAUAUCGGAAGGAACAUCGGUGGCGAAGGCGACUUUCUGGACAGCUACUGACACUGAGGCACGAAAGCGUGGGGAGCAAACAGG
rnacentral:rRNA from 1 species